AUUGAACGCUGGCGGCAUGCUUUACACAUGCAAGUCGAACGGCAGCGCGGGCUUCGGCCUGGCGGCGAGUGGCGAACGGGUGAGUAAUGCAUCGGAACGUGCCCAGUAGUGGGGGAUAGCCCGGCGAAAGCCGGAUUAAUACCGCAUACGACCUGAGGGUGAAAGCGGGGGAGCGAAAGGCCUCGCGCUAUUGGAGCGGCCGAUGUCGGAUUAGCUAGUUGGUGGGGUAAAGGCUUACCAAGGCGACGAUCCGUAGCUGGUCUGAGAGGACGACCAGCCACACUGGGACUGAGCCACGGCCCAGACUCCUACGGGAGGCAGCAGUGGGGAAUUUUGGACAAUGGGGGCAACCCUGAUCCAGCCAUGCCGCGUGCGGGAAGAAGGCCUUCGGGUUGUAAACCGCUUUUGUUCGGGAAGAAAUCCUCUGGGCUAAUACCCCGGGGGGAUGACGGUACCGGAAGAAUAAGCACCGGCUAACUACGUG
rnacentral:rRNA from 1 species